CCGCAGGGUCUUCUGGGAAAUGUAGUUCUGGUGGAGGGGGCGGUGCAGGGGCAGGGCAAGGCUGAUCACAAGGCACACCUGUUCAAUUGUACCAGGGAUGGUGGAACAACUAACUAUACGGCAGGAUCUUGCCAUGUAGUUCAGGCUGGCCUCAAACUCGCAGUGAUCCUCCUGCCUCAGCCUCCAGAGUGCUGGAAUUACAGGCGUUUGCCACCAUGCUCUCGUCACUUUCUGAAGCUGUUCUGGAAACCCACUUUUGUGACUGACAUUACCAGAUGUGAUCAAAACAGUAAUGCUACUUGCUCAGGGCCAUCCAAUUUGGAAAGGCAAACUCCUAAAAACAUCACAGUAUGUUCUUAUCCACCCUGUUCACAGCUGGCACUAUGACUUCUGGCUCUUCCUCAAAGUCAAAAUGACCAUGAAAAGAAAAUAUAUUUUUAAUCAGUUCAGGACAUAGAGACAGCUAGGACCGUGCAAUUAAACAUAAGAAAGAGGACUUCCAAAGAGGCAAGAACGAUAGGGGGAGUGUGUUCAGUGAGGAGCAGUAUUUUGAUGGCAGUUAGUAGCACUGUCUUUACUAUAAUAAAAUUUUCUAAAUUUAAA